rnacentral:rRNA from 1 species
GCGAGUUUGAUCAUGGCUCAGAACGAACGCUGGCGGCGCGCCUAACACAUGCAAGUCGAACGCUCCGGGUUUCGGCCCGGGGAGUGGCGGACGGGUGAGUAACGCGUGGGAACCUGCCCAAGGGUUCGGGACAACCGCGGGAAACCGCGGCUAACACCGGAUACGGCCGAGAGGCGAAAGACUUGUCGCCCUUGGAGGGGCCCGCGUCCGAUUAGCUAGUUGGUGGGGUAACGGCCUACCAAGGCUUCGAUGGGUAGCUGGUCUGGGAGGACGAUCAGCCACACUGGGACUGAGACACGGCCCAGACUCCUACGGGAGGCAGCAGUGGGGAAUCUUGCGCAAUGCGCGAAAGCGUGACGCAGCAACGCCGCGUGCGGGAAGACGGCCUUCGGGUUGUAAACCGCUUUCAGUUGGGACGAAGCUUCGAUCGUUAAUAGCGGUUUGAAGUGACGGUACCUUCACAAGAAGCCCCGGCUAACUACGUGCCAGCAGCCGCGGAA